rnacentral:rRNA from 1 species
GACGAACGCUGGCGGCGUGCUUAACACAUGCAAGUCGAACGGAAAGGCCCUGCUUUUGUGGGGUGCUCGAGUGGCGAACGGGUGAGUAACACGUGAGUAACCUGCCCUUGACUUUGGGAUAACUUCAGGAAACUGGGGCUAAUACCGGAUAGGAGCUCCUGCUGCAUGGUGGGGGUUGGAAAGUUUCGGCGGUUGGGGAUGGACUCGCGGCUUAUCAGCUUGUUGGUGGGGUAGUGGCUUACCAAGGCUUUGACGGGUAGCCGGCCUGAGAGGGUGACCGGCCACAUUGGGACUGAGAUACGGCCCAGACUCCUACGGGAGGCAGAAGUGGGGAAUAUUGCACAAUGGGCGGAAGCCUGAUGCAGCAACGCCGCGUGCGGGAUGAUGGCCUUCGGGUUGUAAACCGCUUUCGCCUGUGACGAAGCGUGAGUGACGGUAAUGGGUAAAGAAGCACCGGCUAACUACGUG